CCUACGGGUGGCAGCAGUGGGGGAUAUUGGACAAUGGGGGGAACCCUGAUCCAGCCAUGCCGCGUGUGUGAAGAAGGCCCUCGGGUUGUAAAGCACUUUCAGUGAGGAAGAACGCCUGGUGGUUAAUACCCAUCAGGAAAGACAUCACUCACAGAAGAAGCACCGGCUAACUCCGUGCCAGCAGCCGCGGUAAUACGGAGGGUGCGAGCGUUAAUCGGAAUUACUGGGCGUAAAGCGCGCGUAGGUGGCUUGAUAAGCCGGUUGUGAAAGCCCCGGGCUCAACCUGGGAACGGCAUCCGGAACUGUCAAGCUAGAGUGCAGGAGAGGAAGGUAGAAUUCCCGGUGUAGCGGUGAAAUGCGUAGAGAUCGGGAGGAAUACCAGUGGCGAAGGCGGCCUUCUGGACUGACACUGACACUGAGGUGCGAAAGCGUGGGUAGCAAACAGGAUUAGAUACCCGAGUAGUC
rnacentral:rRNA from 1 species